GACGUGGGUAACUUCGGGAAACCGGAGCUAAUACCGGAUAAUAUAAAAGAUCACAUGGUCUUUAUUGAAAGAUGGCUUCGGCUAUCACUUAUAGAUGGGCCCGCGGCGCAUUAGCUAGUUGGUGAGGUAAUGGCUCACCAAGGCGACGAUGCGUAGCCGACCUGAGAGGGUGAUCGGCCACACUGGGACUGAGACACGGCCCAGACUCCUACGGGAGGCAGCAGUAGGGAAUCUUCCGCAAUGGACGAAAGUCUGACGGAGCAACGCCGCGUGAGCGAUGAAGGCCUUCGGGUCGUAAAGCUCUGUUGUUAGGGAAGAACAAGUAUCGUUCGAAUAGGGCGGUACCUUGACGGUACCUAACCAGAAAGCCACGGCUAACUACGUG
rnacentral:rRNA from 1 species